CAGCAGCCGCGGUAAUACGAAGGGGGCUAGCGUUGCUCGGAAUGACUGGGCGUAAAGGGCGCGUAGGCGGCGAUCAAAGUCAGGCGUGAAAUUCCUGGGCUCAACCUGGGGGCUGCGCUUGAUACUUGGUUGCUUGAGUGGGGAAGAGGGUCGUGGAAUUCCCAGUGUAGAGGUGAAAUUCGUAGAUAUUGGGAAGAACACCGGUGGCGAAGGCGGCGACCAGGUCCUUGACUGACGCUGAGGCGCGAAAGCGUGGGGAGCAAACAGGAUUAGAUACCCCUGUAGUCCCUGUCUCUUAUAC
rnacentral:rRNA from 1 species